rnacentral:lncRNA from 1 species
CAGAAUAAUAUGCAGCUAGGGGAAGGCCAGGCUGGGUCUCAGGGUGAGAGUUACAGAAGGAUAUGAAAUAAUCGGGGAAGAGGCAAUUACAGCGGGUAUCCUGAUGCAGACCAUCCCCAGCCAGAAACACAGCCGCAGAACUGAGCCCAAGCUCCAGACCAAAAACUGAGCCCAAGCUCAGGGUCUGCAUGGCCCAGAGCUGGCAUCUGUCCGGGGGACUGGCCCAGGCAAAGUGACCACUGUCAUCCAGUCCAGGAGCUGUGAGCUGCAUGGAAAGAAUGUGAAUGAAGACACAACUCUAAAUGUGGAACCAUGGACGUUAUGUGAGCCAGUGUGCUCCCUAGCCGUCCAGAAAAACAAGGCCCACUUGUACAUUCUGCAAGAGCAUAAAUAAAGCUGUCCUCAGGCGGCGUGCUGUGGUGGCCCAUCCUUGCAGUGGCUUCACU